rnacentral:lncRNA from 10 species
GAUCCAGGCUCAGUCUUCGUUCUGCUUCGUGGCAUCACAGUCCCUUAUUUGAAACUGAACCAGGACUGCAGUCUUCGACUUUGACAUCAAAUUUGACACCUCAGUGGCCCAAGCUUUCAGAAACUUGGAAUUGCAGACAUUAUGGAUUUGGACCUGCCCUCAGAAGGUUACUAUGAGGACUAAAUACAUUCAAAGUACAUGCAAGUA